GACGAACGCUGGCGGCAUGCCUAAUACAUGCAAGUCGAACGCUGAAGUGAGGAGCUUACUCUUCUUGGAUGAGUUGCGAACGGGUGAGUAACGCGUAGGUAACCUGCCUUGUAGCGGGGGAUAACUAUUGGAAACGAUAGCUAAUACCGCAUAACAAUGGAUGACACAUGUCAUUUAUUUGAAAGGGGCAAUUGCUCCACUACAAGAUGGACCUGCGUUGUAUUAGCUAGUAGGUGAGGUAAUGGCUCACCUAGGCGACGAUACAUAGCCGACCUGAGAGGGUGAUCGGCCACACUGGGACUGAGACACGGCCCAGACUCCUACGGGAGGCAGCAGUAGGGAAUCUUCGGCAAUGGGGGCAACCCUGACCGAGCAACGCCGCGUGAGGGAAGAAGGUUUUCGGAUCGUAAAGCUCUGUUGUAAGUCAAGAACGGGUGUGAGAGUGGAAAGUUCACACUGUGACGGUAGCUUACCAGAAAGGGACGGCUAACUACGUG
rnacentral:rRNA from 1 species